UGCAUAGCUUGGUUUCAGUGGUACGUAUAAUUAAAUGACCAUCCAUUGUAUUAUUUAAUUGAUAAAAAGCUUAUCAGAUUUGAUGAGUUUUCUGAGGGAUAGAGAAAGAAAUAUUUGAAGAGCAAAGCAAAGCAAAGCAAAGCAAAGAAAAUGUUGAUUGAAAAGCAAUAGCUUUGCUGAACACUAAGAGGGUAGGAGAUAUCAAAAUCAAAUACAUGAAAUCUAAAGGUGCCUUAAAUCUUGAGAAUUUGGUGCUUAAAAGUCGGGAAGACGGGAGCACAUAUGAGCAAUUUUAUACUUCUUGAUUACUGCAUGAGAAUGAUGAAUAAAAUUUAACAUUCGUUAGCUGCAGAAGCAUGAAGUGGAGAAAGUUCUUGAGAAACUUAAAUUUUGCCAUCUUUUUUUUCCGGUUUGGGUGGGUUUUUGGGGGGUGGGGGUUUGGUAUUGAUGAUAGGCUUAUAAAGAAGCAACUUUUAUACAAUUGUUUUCAUAUUCAAACUGAAACUGGCCCUCUCUUAUAUGUGUAUGCUUAUAUCCUGAAUUUUUUAAUGAUGCAUUCCUUGUAUUACUCCUCUUACUUUUAGGUUUGCUAUUAUGGGCAACAUUA
rnacentral:misc_RNA from 1 species